AUUGAACGCUGGCGGCAUGCCUUACACAUGCAAGUCGAACGGUAACAGGUCUUCGGAUGCUGACGAGUGGCGAACGGGUGAGUAAUACAUCGGAACGUGCCUAGUAGUGGGGGAUAACUACUCGAAAGAGUGGCUAAUACCGCAUGAGAUCUACGGAUGAAAGCAGGGGAUCGCAAGACCUUGUGCUACUAGAGCGGCCGGUGGCGGGUUAUGUAGUGGGUGGGAUAAAAGCUUACCAAGCCGACGAUCUGUAGCGGGGCUGAGAGGACGAUCAGCCACACUGGGACUGAGACACGGCCCAGACUCCUACGGGAGGCAGCAGUGGGGAAUUUUGGACAAUGGGCGCAAGCCUGAUCCAGCAAUGCCGCGUGCAGGAUGAAGGCCUUCGGGUUGUAAACUGCUUUUGUACGGAACGAAAAGCCCUGGGUUAAUACCCUGGGGUCAUGACGGUACCGUAAGAAUAAGCACCGGCUAACUACGUGCCAGCCGCCGCGGUAA
rnacentral:rRNA from 1 species